AACUUACUUCCCUAGACAGUUUCAUAGUUGACUUCUGUUUUUUCAAGUCUUGGUGAAAAUGUCCUGUCUCACCAAAGAGCACUUCCUUCACAACUUUUAGUAAAUGUUACUUAAUUGCCCCACCACUUCUUAAGUCAUUACCUUGUUUAUUUUCAUCAUGGCACUUAUCCUCCCAAUAAGUUUACUAAUUAUUUAACAUCUCUGCUCUCUACUGAGAUGUUGUGACCAUUAUGUAGUACGUCAAAUGCCUAGCAAGUUAGUGAGGCACAGUUUUUGGUGUGUCUUUGGGUGACUGACAUGUAGUCCAACAAAAUGAGUGGGGAAAACCACACUGAAUGUGGCUGGCACUAAUCAAUAGGCUUCUAUCCUGGCUGAGACAAAAGGGAAAAGAAGGAAGUAUCCCCAUUUUGGAAGAGUUCCAAUCCUCCCUGUUGUCUUUGGACAACAACUUCCAAUGCAGACUUGAAAGUGCAGCUCCACAGCAAGCUUCCACACUUUUGAUCUUGGACAGGUGCUGCAUUCUUGAUCCCUCUUGUUCUGCAGCUUCUGUCCUCUUGGGCUAGGGAACUACUGGAUCAUCUGGCUCUCUGGUACAUAGAUGGCCAUGGUGGGUUCUACUGCCUCUGAUCCCAUAAGCCUACUUAUUAAAUCCUCUUGCAUAACAAUAUAUUUUUUCUCUUGAUUCUGUUCUUAUGGAGAGCCAUAAUGCAUAAAAAUGUCAUCACCAUGAGGGCUGAGACAAGUAUGUUUUGUUGUCUUAUGGUUCUAGUGCCUAGAACAGUGAGUGGCACAUAAAACAGUAUCAGAGUAACAAUUCAUGCAGUUCUAGAAGUUGACUCCAUUAUGAAGCGGCUGACAUUCAAAGGUCAAAGCAAACAAUCAGAACAGAGCAAAGAUUUCAAGUGGAGUGAUGAAGGAUUACAUAGAAAGCCCUCUGCACUCCAGUCCUGUGUCCUGAAGACAGAUGGCAGAAGAAAGCAGAAAAGGGAUGGGAGGACCUCACUGUGCUUCUACUUGGAGCCCAGUGUGCCUAUGACCUGCCUGCGCCAGUGAAGAGGAAAUCCAGACCCUUUUCUCCAAGUCACACCUGCUCCCGGAAGGAGGGGGAGAGGGCUCUGACCUAGGUCAUGGGAAUGAAAAAAUUGAAGCACCAUUUUCUACGGGUCCCUCCCAGCGAUGGCAGCAAAUCUGUAAAACUAGGAUGGCCUCCAGCUCCCUCACUGGUAAGAAAAUUUGAGUGAUUCACUUUCGUCAGCCCCUACAGUGUGACAA